rnacentral:tRNA from 1 species
UUAUCUUUUGGUGUAAAGGCACAUAGAGUUUUGAUCUCUAGGGAAUUGGUGUGAUUCCAUUAAAUAUAAG